rnacentral:rRNA from 1 species
CUGCCAGUGAUAAACUGGAGGAAGGUGGGGAUGACGUCAAGUCAUCAUGGCCCUUACGACCAGGGCUACACACGUGCUACAAUGGCGCAUACAAAGAGAAGCGACCUCGCGAGAGCAAGCGGACCUCAUAAAGUGCGUCGUAGUCCGGAUUGGAGUCUGCAACUCGACUCCAUGAAGUCGGAAUCGCUAGUAAUCGUGGAUCAGAAUGCCACGGUGAAUACGUUCCCGGGCCUUGUACACACCGCCCGUCACACCAUGGGAGUGGGUUGCAAAAGAAGUAGGUAGCUUAACCUUCGGGAGGGCGCUUACCACUUUGUGAUUCAUGACUGGGGUGAAGUCGUAACAA